GACGAACGCUGGCGGCGUGCUUAACACAUGCAAGUCGAACGAUGAACCCGGAGCUUGCUCCGGCGGAUUAGUGGCGAACGGGUGAGUAACACGUGAGUAACCUGCCCUUGACUCUGGGAUAACUGCGGGAAACUGUAGCUAAUACCGGAUACGACCCUCGGCGGCAUCGCCAGGGGGUGGAAAGAAUUUCGGUCAAGGAUGGACUCGCGGCCUAUCAGCUAGUUGGUGAGGUAACGGCUCACCAAGGCGACGACGGGUAGCCGGCAUGAGAGGGUGACCGGCCACACGGGGACUGAGACACGGCCCAGACUCCUACGGGAGGCAGCAGUGGGGAAUAUUGCACAAUGGGCGCAAGCCUGAUGCAGCAACGCCGCGUGAGGGAUGACGGCCUUCGGGUUGUAAACCUCUUUUAGUAGGGAAGAAGCGAAAGUGACGGUACCUGCAGAAAAAGCACCGGCUAACUACGUGCCAGCCGCCGCCGUAA
rnacentral:rRNA from 1 species